rnacentral:rRNA from 1 species
UACGUAGGGGGCAAGCGUUGUCCGGAUUUAUUGGGCGUAAAGAGCGUGUAGGCGGCCAAACAGGUCAGCUGUGAAAACUCGAGGCUCAACCUCGAGACGUCGGUUGAAACCGUUUGGCUAGAGUCCGGAAGAGGAGAGUGGAAUUCCCGGUGUAGCGGUGAAAUGCGCAGAUAUCGGGAAGAACACCCGUGGCGAAGGCGGCUCUCUGGGACGGUACUGACGCUGAGACGCGAAAGCGUGGGGAGCGAACCGG